UGUGACCUCAAAUCAGGUAGGACUACCCGCUGAACUUAAGCAUAUCAAUAAGCGGAGGAAAAGAAACUAACAAGGAUUCCCCUAGUAACUGCGAGUGAAGCGGGAAAAGCUCAAAUUUAAAAUCUGGCGGUCUUUUGGCUGUCCGAGUUGUAAUCUAGAGAAGUGUUAUCCGCGCUGGACCGUGUACAAGUCUCCUGGAAUGGAGCAUCAUAGAGGGUGAGAAUCCCGUCUUUGACAUGGACUGCCAGGGCUUUGUGAUGCGCUCUCAAAGAGUCGAGUUGUUUGGGAAUGCAGCUCAAAAUGGGUGGUAAAUUCCAUCUAAAGCUAAAUAUUGGCGAGAGACCGAUAGCGAACAAGUACCGUGAGGGAAAGAUGAAAAGAACUUUGGAAAGAGAGUUAAACAGUACGUGAAAUUGCUGAAAGGGAAACGCUUGAAGUCAGUCGCGUCAUCCAGGGAUCAACCUUGCUUUUGCUUGGUGCACUUCCUGGUUUGAUGGGUCAGCAUCAAUUUUGACCGUUGGAAAAAGGCUGAGGGAAUGUGGCAUCUUUGGAUGUGUUAUAGCCCUCUGUCACAUACAAUGGUUGGGAUUGAGGAACUCAGCACGCCGCAAGGCCGGGUUUUUAAACCACGUACGUGCUUAGGAUGCUGGCAAUAUGGCUUUAAUCGACCCGUCUUGAAACACGGACCAAGGAGUCUAACAUGCCUGCGAGUGUUUGGGUGGAAAACCCGAGCGCGUAAUGAAAGUGAAAAGUUGAGAUCCCUGUCGUGGGGAGCAUCGACGCCCGGACCAGACCUUUUGUGACGGUUCCGCGGUAGAGCAUGUAUGUUGGGACCCGAAAGAUGGUGAACUAUGCCUGAAUAGGGUGAAUCCAGAGGAAACUCUGGUGGAGGCUCGUAGCGAUUCUGACGUGCAAAUCGAUCGUCAAAUUUGGGUAUAGGGGCGAAAGACUAAU
rnacentral:rRNA from 1 species